GGGUACUUCUGGGAGUUCCAAAUCUAAGAAGCAGGUUCUCUGCUGUCUUACGGCUUCAGGCAUCUGUCAGGGCUCAAGGGCUCAGUGUAUCCGUGGCUAAGGGGCAUUUCUGGACUUACAGAGAAAAUGGGCCUGGGGGGUUCCUAGAAUCCAAAGCAGGUCAGGAGGUCAUUUCAUCACUCUCCAGACACAGGGAUUUUCUCCCUGAGAGGUCCUUCCCUCUUCCUGUCACUGGCACUCUCCCCUCAUCAGUCCCCCAAGGCCCAUCUGAGAGACCACGGUCCCCAGGUAUCAGACCCUCUCCAGUUCUAACCUCUGGGAGGGCCUGCAGCCUUCUGUGGCUCCCCAGUUCUCUGCACACACCUUACAGGAGCACUUAGGACCUUGUGCCAGUGAGCACGAGUUGCCCAGUUCUUAGCGUCUGGGAGCUCCUGGAGAGUGAGCAGGGAACACAUCUUCUGCCUCUCUAGUGCCAUCUGGUAAGACACUCCAGGAGAGUCCGGUGGAUAAAUGAAGGCGCAGCCAGACUCUGAAAUAAACAGUGCAGCCUCCUUCACUUGGAGUUUAAGCACCUUAGCUCUGAAGUCACCCUUUCUUUGAAACCUCUUCUGAACUGUCCAAGUAUGAGGUCUCCUCUGCUCACCUUGACCCACCCCUGACUCGGGAGUUCCUGAAGGCUCCUCCUUGAGGUCCCCCAGGCCUACAACAGCAGCCACAGUUCCACUGCCCAAGCAAGGAGCCCUCUAGUCAUCAUGACCGGCCUCUCCCACAGGACACUGCAUUGUCUCCACAGGGCUCCUUCCCCACUGUUUGCUGGACAGGAUCCUGUGUGCUCCUCUGCUCAAAACUCUUUCAAUGUUCUAAUAUUGAUUGUGGUCAUGAUUGCAUAACUAAAAAUUAGUAAGAACCAUUGAAUGGCUCACCUUAAACAAGUGACUUGUAUGUUAUGUUAGUUGUAUCUGAAUAAAGCUGUUCUUUUUUUUU